GCAGUGGUGAUUCAGUGGUAGAAUUCUCGCCUUCCACGCGAGAGACCCUGGUUCCAUUGCCAGUCAAUACA
rnacentral:tRNA from 1 species